AUGAUUCACAGAGGAGAGGGAUCUGAAGGAGGCGGCGGGGAUGGCGUACAGGCGGCUCACGGAGGCAGAGGAUUGGCGCCUCACGCCGACGGGCGAGCCCAUGGGUGCUCUCAGGAUGUUGCUCUGGGCGAUGGAGGAGUCGGAGUCCGACGACCCCAAGAAGGAGAUGAAGUGGAGAGCGUUUCGAUCCCGCCGCUGCAAUCCUGCGGGUCCGACGGAGUUCGUCGUCGGAGCAGUGAUGGGCCUCCCGGUGCCGGAUCCUACGGCGGUGAAGGAGGAGGCAUUGGGGGACCCGAUGGUCAACGCUACAGAGGAGGGAGUGAAGCCUGGUGCGAGGAAGAAGAAGGCGAGGUGGUCGCUGGUGAUAAGGCGAUCCCCGUGCUUCCCUUGUCGGUCGCCGCGUCUGCUCUGCCUCGCCCGCCGCGCGCGUGGAUAGGAGCCUCGCCGGCGGGCAGUCGCUUCUGGCUGCUCGCCGGUGAGGUCUCCAACGGGGAGGCUGGGCCCUCGUCGGUGUUGCAAGGUAAAACUUCUUCUCCCAGUAAAUAUCUUGUCGGUUGUGAAACAGAGAUCUCUGUUGACAAAAUUAGAAUGAACAAGCAAAGCCGAUUGGCUGCUAGUAAUGGGGAUAAGAUCGUAAAUAGACCAUGUUUUGGUCCUGUCUUUGGGGAAACAUAUUCAGAAAGGAAAGUGGGUGGGGGAAUUGGUGACAGAAAUAAAAACAAGGUGAGAGAUGUUGAUCUCAACAAAUCUAUCAGGAAAAAUGAUAAAAAUUAUGGCACUGGAUCUACUAUAGAAUCCAGUUGCAAGGUAGAUCCAGACCUGAUUAGAAGAAGCAUAUAUAUAGCUGAAAAAAUGAGUUGUGCAAAUUAUGUACAAAUCCCAGAUUUCUGGUCAAGUGAUUGUGUACAUCUAGAUAAUAUGGUUAUUGAUAGAUGUCAAGUAUCAGUACCUAUAGGGAUUUUGGGUAGAUAUGGUAAGUCUUCCCCCACUUGGGGUAAAAAGGUAGCUGAUAAAGAUGGGCAAAAAAUGGACAAAGCAAAAGGGGAGGCGGUUUUUAGCAAUACGCUUUCCCAAGCCUUUCUGACUAUAAACAGUGCGCCUCUUCUCUGCUUUGAGAAAGAGUGCGAUCCCCUUGAGGAUUUAGGGUUUACCCUUCCCCCGUCGCCACUGGGUAAAAGUGAAGAGAGAGAGACGAUGAACAGGGGGCCUGGAGGAUAUCGAGGGGGUGGAAGAUUCAAUAGGGGAAGGAGGGACAAUUUCCAGUAUAGAAGAAAGGAAGAAGAGCUUGACAGAUUUAGAGAAAUAUACCCCAACAAUGAGAGAAGAGGUGGAAGAUUUGGGUACAGGGAGGAGACUGGGAAAUCUAAUCAGCAAGUGGAGGAAGAGAAGAGAGGGAUGGCAGAUCUGAAGCUUCCUUCGAGCUCCAAGGAAGAAUUUGUGAAGAGGAUGGAAGAGGAUCAGAGAGCUAGAGAUCUCAAAGGAAAAGAGGAUGUGGUGAUACAUGUUUCUUCUUUCGAUCUGAUCCAACAGCAGCAGUGGUUUGGGGCUUUGAUGGCCCAGAUGGCCCAACAAAAGAUGGAAAGCUCGUCUGGGGGUGGAAUUGUUACCCCCUGA
rnacentral:rRNA from 1 species